GACGAACGCUGGCGGCGUGCUUAACACAUGCAAGUCGUACGGUAAGGCCCUUUCGGGGGUACACGAGUGGCGCACGGGUGAGUAACACGUGAGUAACCUGCCCACAACUUUGGGAUAACGCUAGGAAACUGGUGCUAAUACUGGAUAUGUGCUCCUGCUGCAUGGUGGGGGUUGGAAAGCUCCGGCGGUUGUGGAUGGACUCGCGGCCUAUCAGCUUGUUGGUGGGGUAGUGGCCUACCAAGGCGGCGACGGGUAGCCGGCCUGAGAGGGUGACCGGCCAAAAUGGGACUGAGAUACGGCCCAGACUCCUACGGGAGGCAGCAGGGGGGAAUAUUGCACAAUGGGCGCAAGCCUGAUGCAGCAACGCCGCGUGCGGGAUGACGGCCUUCGGGUUGGAAACCGCUUUCAGCAGGGACGAAGCUUUUUGUGACGGUACCUGCAGAAGAAGCACCGGCUAACUACGUG
rnacentral:rRNA from 1 species